GAGGUGAGUGGAACUAACCCUUAUGUUUUAAAUCAAAUGUUUUUAGCAUGUUCAAGCAUGUUCAUGCAUCAUGAAUACCAUGUUAUGCAAUAGGUUGUUUGCAUUAGACUUCACAAAUAUGAUGCAUUGCAUAAUACGAUGAUGAUGAUGUGGAUGGAUACUGGAUGAUCCUCUAGCCCUCAGUAUGUUAUGACAUGAUAUGGAAUGAUA
rnacentral:lncRNA from 1 species